rnacentral:rRNA from 1 species
GUCUGUACACAGUCUUGGUUGGGAAUUAUUCAGGAGAUCCUGUGUGAUCUUGGAAACUAAGCAGUCUCAGUCCUUGUUAGUACUUGGAUGGGAGACCACCAGUGAAUACCAGAUGCUGCAGACU